rnacentral:rRNA from 1 species
UACGUAGGGGGCGAGCGUUGUCCGGAUUUAUUGGGCGUAAAGAGCUCGUAGGCGGCUUGGCAAGUCGGGUGUGAAACCUCCAGGCUCAACCUGGAGACGCCACUCGAUACUGCCAUGGCUAGAGUCCGGUAGGGGACCACGGAAUUCCUGGUGUAGCGGUGAAAUGCGCAGAUAUCAGGAAGAACACCCGUGGCGAAGGCGGCUCUCUGGGACGGUACUGACGCUGAGACGCGAAAGCGUGGGGAGCGAACAGG